rnacentral:tRNA from 1 species
GGAUAUAGCUUAGCAGUAUAGCAUCUGCCUGGCAAGCACAAGGCCCUGAGUUUGAUUCCUGGUACCA